ensembl:lncRNA
CUCUUCUCUGGAGCCGCCAUGUGAGCCUGACAAGAUAGGUGUCCACUUCUCAGCACAUAUGCCAUCCUUGUGAACAUGUGACGAACUUAACCCUCUACCCUUGAGGAGAGAGACGAAGAAGGAGAGGGAACAUUUAGCAUUCCCUCUUUCCAAGGCAGGAAAGGAGAGAUCCUACACAGUUCGCUCUGUUCAAGUACAAGCAACUUCAGCAGCCUGACCUCCGGGCCAGAUUCCUCUCUUCUCCGCAUAGCAAAACGGCCCUUCUCGGGUGUCACCAGGAAAGGUAAAGUUCGAAACAGCAAUUCCUUGUCCGUGCCCAUCGCCACCAUCUCAGAGGCCACCCGGCCAACAGCCCCACCAGAAAUCUGGUGUCUCCAAAUCUUCACGGGGAAAUCCCAUCGGUUCCUGAAUGUUACUCUUCACCCCGAGCCCCGCCCCUUCCCAGCCCCCGACUUUCACUUCUCCUACCCUGAGCUGUUGCUGGAACCUUCCCCAAGACUCUCCGGCUUCCAGCCAGUCAUCCCAUCAAAUAAGCAAAAGAACCUCAUGGAAUCCCCUAAGCUAUUCACAAAGAUGGGACAUCACUCUUGGGAUAACGGUGACGCCUCAAGUGGAGCUCCAUCCUAGUGUCACCCAGAGAACUUUCAACGAGGUGGCCCGGAUCCCGCCCCGGUACCACUGGGCUAGAACUCUGAGCACAGGUCCCAAGCACUGUCCCGCCAUGACCUGGCUGUAGCCCCCGACACCUUUAUUUUACAGUCCCAGGGCUCUCCAGGCUCCGUAGGUAACCUGCCUGGACCCUUGUCCCUGCUACCUCCUGCUUCCUCCACCUUUGGAAUUAACUCGGCCGCUUUCCUUCCUGCUCAUCUCCUCCAUUGAGUCACGGAGUGGUCUUCUCAUUACCAUCAUGACACACCCGAGGCAAGCUGCUUCAUAAAGAAAGAAGGUUGACUCAGCCCAAAGUUUUGGAUGCUGGAAGCUCAACCAACACAGUGCAGGUUGUAGAAGGAGCUCCCUAGCUCCGUUACACCACGGCAGGAACGCCAUUCUUUCUGCCGGCAUGACCCCUCUUCCUCUCCGUGGAAAGCCACCAGGAUCCGGUUGCAGAGGCUUCACUCUGAAGAGCUAAUUGAAUCACCUUCCUAAACGUGAGCAGGCUUCCUGUCCUCUGCCAAAGUCUCCAGUGGCCAUGAUUUUAUACCCAAGUACGUGGGGGUGAAAGGACUGUGGAAAAGCCCUCUGAAACUGUAAGUCAAGACUACCACAUAAAUGCCUCUGUGGAUGACUGCAAAUCUCUCCUGGCAGCAGUAGGGUCCCUGGAGUUAACAGGACAGCAGCACACGGUAACUAAAUACCUUCAAAUACAGACCUGGUGAGUGACAUCAGGAAGGGAGCGUCUGGGAGGAAAUAGGAGGUCGGUUCCCAAGAUGGUUGCCUUGGUCCCACAUCCAUCCUAUGCAACACUGCAAGGAGACACCAAGUCAGGUGGCCUUCCCUGCCACCCUGGAAAUGGUGUCCUCUGCCAGUGACCCAUAGAUGGUCCAUGGUUGAGACACCCACUGGAGGGGCAUGAGGUCAGCCAGGGUCAGGGUCUAUGUCUGUCACAGUUUAAAUACAAUGUUCCUCAUAAGUGCGGGUAUUUGAAUGGCUGGUGGCUCUGUUUUGGGAGGCUGGGAGAAUCUGGAGAAUCUGGAGAAUCUGGAGAAUCUGGAGAAUCUGGAGAAUCUGGAGAAUCUGGAGAAUCUGGAGGGUAGCUGGUGGGACAGGACACUGGGUACAGGACUUGAAGAUGGUAUCUCCUGAGCUGGGGUGUCUGCUCCCUGUCUAGCACUGUUAUGGGAUCAGUCUCCACAGUCUUCCACGGCCCCAGGAUAACCUGCUUUGGCUGCCGUGUUUCCCCCAGCAUGAUGGACUGUACCCUCUACACUGUGAGCCGAGACAAAACUGCGCUCAAGUUGUUUCUGUCAGCUAUUACGUCACAGCCAUGCGAAAAUGCCACAAUAGCGAAAAUGCCACCAUAGUGUACGUGCUGAGCAGCAGCUAAGGCCUGAGUGCCUGUGACCAUUUCAGUGUCAUCAUUUGCUGAGGAUACAGGAGCCAUCUCCAUCUUAUAGCCGGAGAAACAGGCUCAGAGAGGCUGAGUAACUUGUCCAAGGUCGCACAGUUCUUAAAAGAAUGAGGCUCUGAUUUCUCUUUAACAUCUUCCUCAUUUGUGAAGCCAGAUCCCUGGUGAGCCAAGAACAGAACAAAGCAGACUUCACACAGGUCAUCGUAUAUAGACUGAAAAAUCGUAUAUUUCAACAAUGCUUGUAUAAGGUUCUGGGAGUACAAGGGUGAUUUUCUCUCUUUUUUGCAAACAUUUGUUAAUGUGCUUUUGUUGUCUGCAUUAGUUUAAAAAAAAUCUAAACAUUUAAAACAUUUCUCUCCGGAGUCGCUUCUGUCAAGAGCACGGCUAAGAUAAUUGUCAUUCAGAGAAGUCUGCUCAGGGGACAAACCAACCAUUCACAGCCGCUCCAAGCACUAUGUCUCCUGUUUCAACUCAGACUGCCAGAAAGGCACUCGGGGCGGGCUCUGCGUCUCUCAGCUUUCAUACAGAGCUCUUUUUUUUUUUUUUAAAUUUUUUUCUUUAACCAAGCCCCAUCUUCUGCUCCCAGUCUCUCUGUCAAAGAUCAAUAGACGAAAUGUUCACAUGAAGACUCUCUGCCAUUUUUCAUAGAACUGCACUGGCAGACACCAUCUGCUGUGUUCUUCACAUCCCUUGCAAGGAUCCAGUGGACAAACUCCUGUUGGAUUCGUAGCUGGGGACACACACACACACACACACACACACACACACACACACGCACGCACGCACGCACGCACGCACGCACGCACGCACACACACACACACACACACACACACACACACACACACACACACACUGUCUUCAUCAACCUUCGAGCUCGGCAAGUGUUUAACCGCGCCUGCCCUACCUCGUGUUGUUUUCACAGAGUCCCGUAAAUUCCCCAGCAUUUAACAAGGACUCAAAGGGUCGUUUGUUGAAUGAGAAGAAGGUUUAUUGACUUGCACAAUGGGUUCUUGCUUCAGGAACAGAGAGUCCGGGGUCCCAAUGGCACAUCACCAGGUUCUGAAUGGAGCACCACCAGGAGGACUCCUUUGGGCUCUGCUCUCGUGUGUUAUUAGCUCCAUUUUCAGGAAGACCAACUUGCUGUGGCAGCAACAGUCACAGUCGUUUGCAAAAUCACUCUCCAGCUAGCACCUCCUCGGUUCAGGUGAAAGACAGCAUCUCCUUGCCCCAGUCCCAGGCAGGACUCUGAUUAGCUGGUUUAGACCGCAGGCCCAUCACACAAACAAUCAAGUUUGGCAAAGGGAAUGAGUUCGUCCCAUUGGCCAGAUGUGGGUCGAGUCCCACCCUGGAACCAAGGCGGGAAGAGUUAGCUGCCAUCCCUCAAAGUCUAGUCCUAAGAGAUCCCAGAGGCCUGCUGGGCGGAAGCACAGACUCCCCGAGUCAUCUGUCUGCCUUGUCUAAGCUGCAAUCCUCUCCCUCUACACUUGGUGCGACUCACCAGAGCCGUCCUGCUUCUGUCCCGAAGGUUGGUGACAUGGAAACCUGCGGCUACUAGAACCAUCCACCCCAAAAGUCCAACCCCACCCAGCCCGGCAGCUGCUUGAUCCUUCACACCUCUCAUCGCAGCUCUGACGUGACACUGUGGAGAAGGAGUUGCACCCAUUUUGCUGCUAAAUAUGUUGAGGCUGAGCCGAACUAAUGAUACCAUUUUUCUGCUUCAAAAAGAGUUUUAAUUUGGGCUGGAGAGAUGGCUCAGAGGUUAAGAGCACCGACUGCUCUUCCAGAGGUCCUGAGUUCAAUUCCCAGCAACCACACGGUGGCUCACAACCAUCCGUAAUGAGAUCUGGCGCCCUCUUCUGGUGUGCAGAUAUACAUGGAAGCAGAAUGUUGUAUACAUAAUAAAUAAAUAAAAUCUUAAAAGAAAGAGUUUUAAUUCUUCUUGUUGUGCCCCCACCAUCCCCCACCGUGCGUGUAGGUGCAUUCUUCUUAGGGUGUGACUGGAGGUCAGAGGACAACUCUGUAGAGACAGGUCCCUCCUUCCACAUUUACACGGGUUCCAAGGAUCACACUCAGGUCUCCAGACAUGUGCAACAAGUGCCUUUAAACGGCUGGGCCCCCUCACUGGCCCAAAUGUCUUUUUCACUUUGGAGACAAGAUCUUACUCUGAGGCCCAGGUUGACCUCAAAUUGACAAUCCUCCUGCCUCAGUGGCCCAAAUGUUGGGAUUAUGACUAUCGGCUACUACUUGAGGGGGUCUGUUCUUUCCUCCCACCCUGUGGGUCCCCGGUUAGACCUCAGCUCAUCAUUGUGGCAGCAGGGGAUUUAGCCUGCUGAGCCAUCUCACUGGCCUCAAGGAUACUUUCCCUAGGACCCUGCAAGGACGCUGGUGGCAGAAUCUGGGUAGAGUUCAGGCUUCCAGCUACUUGGUUCAAAAACAUAGCACGGCUUCAGCAAAGACCAUGAGCACCCACAAACUAAAUGCCUCUACCCAACUUUCCCUUCCAGCCAAGAAGGGUGUCAGGGUGUCCCCAUGGCUUGGGGACACAGAGCUUCUUAGACAGAGUAGGAGCCGUAGCAAGACUCAUGUGUGUUCAGAGACCCUGUGGCCACUUCACAGAAAGCAUGUCCCCCCGUGGGCAUCGGGUUCCAGGAGUUCCUGUUACCAUGCCCCGCUGUGGGCACUGGCACAGGGGCCUGCUGGGUGGGCGCAGAGGGUGCCUCUCCCCAUGAAGUUGCAGAGCCCUACUUGAUCCAAGACGGCACCCUGAAUGCAGCAGUCGUUCAUUAGGGCCCUGCAUUCAUUCAUUUCGUUUUCUUUUUUUUUAACCCCAAUUUAUUUAUUUAUUUAUUAUGUGCAUUGGUGUUUUACUUGCACAUAUGUCUGUGUGGAGGCAUGAGACCCUCUGCAGUAGGAUUACAGGCAGCUGUAGGCUGCCAUGUGGGUGCUGGGAAUUGUACCCAGGUCCUCUGGAAGAACAGUUAGUUCUCCUAACCGCUGGACGGACCAUCUCUUCAGCCCCAACACUCAUUCAUUUUCAUGUCAUCCCGUUUCUUCCUCCUUGCAGGCCCCCGAGGAAGCAGGAUGAGAUGAUGGAGUUAGAAAUUCAACGUGUUCAUCGGAGGUGAUUUCUGUGAAGGAUGCCGGUGGGAGAGAUCAGGCGGAGAGAGCUCUGGUCCCUGGUUGAGACUUGAUGAUGUCACAGGCAAGUUCCAGUGGGGCCCGAAGCCAAAGUGACUCACAAGAUGAGGCCGUCCCUGGGCCCUUGCCUUGCUUCACCACCGGCUGAGGGGUGCUCCGGAAGAGCCUGGCCCAACAGGAAAGCUCCUUGGACUCGACAGUGCUGUUCAAAAGGGACACGUGCCCUUCAUGGAAGCCUCAUGACCAGGCUCAUCUAUGCAGAUGCCAGAGCCCAGGGCCCAGCUCCGCACACUGGCUCCAGAUUGAGUCAGGCUAGUAUGGCGGGGAUGUGGUCCUCAACACUUUGCUCAGGCCAAACCCCAGCAGUGCCUGACUCUCAGCUGCUGAGAUGCUGUCCCCUCUACCAGUCAUGACUCUAGGGGGGUGUUGUCCCUUUAUCCUCCAGGGAGACGGUGACCGGAAUUCAGGAUGCCCAUGUCCACACUGGGCCUGGACGAAAGCAGCCAGAACAACCAUGUCUGCUCUCUGCCUCCGUCUAUUUCCUGCUCUGCCCUUCCUCCCUCUCUCAGACAGCGUGUUACCUUGCAACCCAGGGUUGUCCUUCGCUCCGUGAUCCUCCUGACUCAGCCUCUAGUAUACCGGGAUUACAGUCAUCACAUCUGGGUCUCCACGGCUAUCACAGAACUCCUUUGCAGCGAGAAGCCUGCUGAUGUAGCAGCUCCAAUUUGAACAGUGGUUCAUAAAAAAAACCCACAGCCUUUCCGUGUGUUCCCUUCUCUCGUGGACGCCACAGGGUGUCCCUCCUCCUUCCCACACAGCUUGUGUCACCUGCCUCUGUGCCUUUGAGACAAGCUCAAGGGGUGAUUUGGUGGCUGGGAGUUCAACAACCUCUUCCUAGCGGUCAGUUCCGUUACCUCCCAGGCAAAGAUUCCAGUUUAGGUUUUAAGCUUGAAGAGCCAGGUGUGAUGGUCCCAGCACCCAGGAGGCUAAGAUGGGAAGAUGGAGAUGAAGAUGAGCCAGAACCCAGAGGACAGAGGUGCUAAUGUGGCCUACAAAUGGAAAGUGAAAGAAGCCGGGGUAGGCAUGCUGACUCAGCUGGCAACCUAAGGAUGGAGCCCACGCAGUCUCCACAGUCUCUGGGACAAACACGAUGGAAGGAGAGAAGUGACUCCCUCAGGUUGUCCUUAGACCUCCACAUGUAUGCAGUGGCAUGACCCCCACCCUCUCCCUGUGUCCCCCACACCAAUUACUUAAUUAAAGGGUUUUUUGUUUGUUUGUUUGUUUUUGUUUUUCGAGACAGGGUUUCUCUGUGGCUUUGGAGGCUGUCCUGGAACUCGCUCUUGUAGACCAGGCUGGUCUCGAACUCACAGAGAUCUGCCAGCCUCUGCCUCCCGAGUGCUGGGAUUAAAGGCGUACACCACCAACGCCCGGCAAGGUUUUUUUUUUUUUUUUAAGCCAGUGUAUCUGAUAGGCUUUGCUUACCACCCCAGGCUGGUUUUAGUGUCCCCUCGCCCUUUCCAGCAAAGAGGCCACUCUCUUGCCAUUACACCUCUCAAUGCUCAGAGGUCAGGGCCAGUGUCACUACCUCUGUCCCCUCCCUUGUCCCAGUGUCACUACCACUGAUCCCUGUACUCAACGUAGGCAAAGAGCAGCCAGACCGCUCAAGGGUCCCCCAGCACCUCGAGGUGGCUUGCCCACUGGACUCAAGUACAAUCUGUGCGGCCGCUCUCCCCCUACUCCCCAGCACCCACGGGGAGGGCAGCCGGCAUCGCUGAGUCUCAACCUGGGCUGUGUAUUUUUCAUUAUAUGUGAUUUUAAAUUUACUCUUUGAGAAUGUCAUACAUGCAUACAAUGAAUUUCAAUCAUAUGUAUCCCCUUCCCCUCCUCUAACUCUUCCCAGACUCUCCCAUCUCCCUCCCAAUUUCAUAUCCUAUUUUUUAAAUAACUCACUGAAUCCAAUUAGUGCUGUAUAUAUCUGAAAUGUCUGGAGCUACCCACUGGAACAUGGUCAGACUACCAGGGACCGCACCCGUAAAGAAAACGGGUUCUAUCUCCCCUGGCAAUCACUGCACACUUAAACAAAUUGUAAUGCCAUAAACUCAUUCUCAAGAUUUGUCUGGCACCAGGC